UACGAAGGGGGCUAGCGUUGCUCGGAAUCACUGGGCGUAAAGGAUGCGUAGGCGGGUCUUUAAGUCAGGGGGGAAAUCCUGGAGCUCAACUCCAGAACUGCCUUUGAUACUGAGGAUCUUGAGUUCGGGAGAGGUGAGUGGAACUGCGAGUGUAGAGGUGAAAUUCGUAGAUAUUCGCAAGAACACCAGUGGCGAAGGCGGCUCACUGGCCCGAUACUGACGCUGAGGCACGAAAGCGUGGGGAGCAAACAGG
rnacentral:rRNA from 1 species